UCUAGAGGCACUGAGUCUAAUACAUGAAGAGUGUAAGUCAUUAGAAAAUCUUAUUUUGUGUGCCACACAAAAAAAGAGAAGUCAUACAGGUUUGGAACAACAUGAUGCUUCUUACCUUAACCAGAAUGCCCUAAUUUGUGUCCAUCAUGCAUUGUGUUGAGUGAUGUGCUGGACAGGGCUCAUUCUACAGGCCGACUGGAGCUGUAUUCAGCAGAUGAUAUGGAGCAGCAUCCUAAUGUGAUCAAAUCUUGCCCUGGAUGCCCAAUUCUUCCCUCCUGGCUCAGACUGUCUAUUUUUAUUAGUGUUGCUUGCUAAGGUUAGAGACAGAUUGCUUGCGGUUUGUGUGAGCUCUAUUGGCUCUGGCAGGUGAAGCACAGAGCCCGGAGGGGAGCCACUUUAUGGGUGAUGAGCAAAGGACACAGAGGUCAAAAUCGUGGAGGAGAAACAUACCAGGGUCACUGCCGAAUCACAGUCACCACGAUGAAACAGAGACAAGAGCUUUCUUAUUCCAGCACAGCAGACCGGCUUCAGCUCUUAAGUACUCAGCUGCUGUACGAAUACUGCAAAAUAUAACAAUAUAUAAACUUAAAUCAUAUAUAUGGCAUACAUAAAUAAAUAAUACACACACAAAGAUAUUUUAAACAGUAUGUUAAUUGCAUUAUUUACUGUAAAUAUAAACACUUUGCUAUAUGCCAG
ensembl:lncRNA